rnacentral:rRNA from 1 species
GACGAACGCUGGCGGCGUGCUUAACACAUGCAAGUCGAACGGAAAGGCCCUGCUUUUGUGGGGUGCUCGAGUGGCGAACGGGUGAGUAACACGUGAGUAACCUGCCCUUGACUUUGGGAUAACUUCAGGAAACUGGGGCUAAUACCGGAUAGGAGCCCCUGCUGCAUGGUGGGGGUUGGAAAGUUUCGGCGGUUGGGGAUGGACUCGCGGCUUAUCAGCUUGUUGGUGGGGUAGUGGCUUACCAAGGCUUUGACGGGUAGCCGGCCUGAGAGGGUGACCGGCCACAUUGGGACUGAGAUACGGCCCAGACUCCUACGGGAGGCAGAAGUGGGGAAUAUUGCACAAUGGGCGGAAGCCUGAUGCAGCAACGCCGCGUGCGGGAUGACGGCCUUCGGGUUGUAAACCGCUUUCGCCUGUGACGAAGCGUGAGUGACGGUAAUGGGUAAAGAAGCACCGGCUAACUACGUG